ensembl:lncRNA
AUGAAGGCCGCUGUGAUCGUACUGUAUAUGAGUAAACAUUAUGAGAUCCCACUAGAGAAAGCAGAAGUCGCUGGUCUAUGCUUUGCUCUCUGUCUGCCCAACAUGCCUAAAGACGAAUUCCUGAAGUAUUGGACCGAUUUUACACAACCCGUCGUACUUCUCAAAAAAUUGCCAGACCUGUUGGAGAAACUGAUAGACAUUGCGAAGGAGGAGGGGAUUCUAGUGAUUCCCAUGCUCCAUCUCCUCAAAGGUUCCUCCAAACCCUUUGAACCAAUCCCUGUCACAAUCACACCAAGUUGCAAGACUUGGGCAGGUCUGCAAAAUACUUGGGCAGGUCUGCAAAAAGUGACCAACACGUCACAGAACAGCAACGAAAGCAGAACCAUGUUGAAUCUCAUUAAAGCCAAUGGACAUUUAGUGGAGAUGGACAGACUAGCGAACCGUUCCUGGAUGUGUCUACUGACCGUAGAGGAUCUGGUAGAAUACAGCUCCAUUGUCAAAGUUGAGCUCCUGGAUAUACUUCUUGUUUUUACUGUGAAGGCUCCUGUGAGUGUAACCACCAGCAACAACGGGGUGAGUUCAAAUCACUACUGUAGUUGAAGACAUUGUAUCGUACUAAGGUAACGCACCAAGAAUGGUACUAACUUCAAUGUUAUUUUUUAUACUUUACAGAAUUUCACUGCCACUCUUUCACAUAUUCAAAACCAUCUUAAAGAGCAAAAAUACAGGUGAUUUGACAUACUUGUCUAAUGAGUUUGUUUCAAUAUUGACAGUUGAUAGUUGUAAACUACACAUCUUUUUUUUGUUUUGUUUUUUUGCAGUUGUUUCAAUGAUGGUUAUGGGAGUGAGUGCUUGGCAACAACAGUGGAACUGCUGAAGAAGAUAUGCAAUGGAGGUCGAUCCUCAAAAUUCACAGCCAUCCCUGUAGACUGCGUGAGCUUGUUAGUCUCAGUAUCAAACUUUUCCCAGUCCAAGGUAUGUAGAAAUGAUAUUUACUGUUACCAUUAUUUAAUCGGGAAGGUUAUGGAGAACACAUUCUCUGUGACAAAAACAACCUUGACGACCUGACGGUUCUCUUUUACAACAACAAUAUAUAAAACAAUGCUGGCAAUAUACUGUCCGGUAUUCGAAUGAUUUUGAACAAUUCACUUGUUGAAUUGUCUCUAUUAUAUUAUGUCAGACCAGCUAGAUCUACUGUCUCUAUUAUAUAAUGACAGACCAGCUAGAUCUACUGUCUCUAUUAUAUUAUGACAGACCAGCUAGAUCUACUGUCUCUAUUAUAUUAUGACAGACCAGCUAGAUCCACUGUCUCUAUUAUAUUAUGACAGACCAGCUAGAUCUACUGUCUCUAUUAUAUUAUGACAGACCAGCUAGAUCUACUGUCUCUAUUAUAUUAUGACAGACCAGCUAGAUCUACUGUCUCUAUUAUAUUAUGACAGACCAGCUAGAUCUACUGUCUCUAUUAUAUUAUGACAGACCAGCUAGAUCCACUGUCUCUAUUAUAUUAUGACAGACCAGCUAGAUCUACUGUCUCUAUUAUAUUAUGACAGACCAGCUAGAUCUACUGUCUCUAUUAUAUUAUGUCAGACCAGCUACAUUUACUGUCUAUGUCUCUAUUAUAUUAUGACAGACCAGCUAGAUCUACUGUCUCUUACAAUAUGACAGACCAGCUAGAUCUACUGUCUCUAUUAUAAUAUGACAGACCAGCUAGAUCUACUGUCUCUAUUACAAUAUGACAGACCAGCUAGAUCUACUGUCUCUAUUAUAUUAUGACAGACCAGCUAGAUCUACUGUCUCUAUUAUAUUAUGACAGACCAGCUAGAUCUACUGUCUCUAUUAUAUUAUGACAGACCAGCUAGAUCUACUGUCUCUAUUAUAAUAUGACAGACCAGCUAGAUCUACUGUCUCUAUUAUAUUAUGUCAGACCAGCUACAUUUACUGUCUAUGUCUCUAUUAUAUUAUGACAGACCAGCUAGAUCUACUGUCUCUUACAAUAUGACAGACCAGCUAGAUCUACUGUCUCUAUUAUAAUAUGACAGACCAGCUAGAUCUACUGUCUCUAUUAUAAUAUGACAGACCAGCUAGAUCUACUGUCUCUAUUAUAUUAUGACAGACCAGCUAGAUCUAC